rnacentral:rRNA from 1 species
AGCCUGAACGCUGGCGGCGUGGUUAAGACAUGCAAGUCGUACGGUGUAGCAAUACACAGUGGCGAACGGGUGAGUAAUGAAUCGCUAAUGUACCCCGGACUCUGGGAUAGCUGCCUGAAAGGGCAGGUAAUACCAGAUAACGUAGCUUUACCGCAUGGUAGAGUUCCCAAAGGUCCGCCGGUCUGGGAGCAGGCGAUUUCGUAUCAGCUAGUUGGUGAGGUAACGGCUCACCAAGGCGAUGACGCGUAGCCGGACUGAGAGGUUGGCCGGCCACAUUGGGACUGAGACACUGCCCAGACUCCUACGGGGGCUGCAGUAACGAAUCUUCCGCAAUGCACGAAAGUGUGACGGAGCGACGCCGCGUGUGGGACGAAGCCCGUUCGGGGUGUAAACCACUGUCAGAGGAUAGAAAGUUCUGAUCAUCCUCAGAGGAAGGCACGGCUAACUCUGCGCCAGCAGCCGCGGUAA